GACGAACGCUGGCGGCGUGCCUAAUACAUGCAAGUUGAGCCAUGAAGAUUGGUGCUUGCACCAAUUUGAAGAGCAGCGAACGGGUGAGUAACGCGUGGGGAAUCUGCCUUUGAGCGGGGGACAACAUUUGGAAACGAAUGCUAAUACCGCAUAACAACUUUAAACAUAAGUUUUAAGUUUGAAAGAUGCAAUUGCAUCACUCAAAGAUGAUCCCGCGUUGUAUUAGCUAGUUGGUGAGGUAAAGGCUCACCAAGGCGAUGAUACAUAGCCGACCUGAGAGGGUGAUCGGCCACAGUGGGACUGAGACACGGCCCAAACUCCUACGGGAGGCAGCAGUAGGGAAUCUUCGGCAAUGGACGAAAGUCUGACCGAGCAACGCCGCGUGAGUGAAGAAGGUUGUCGGAUCGUAAAACUCUGUUGGUAGAGAAGAACGUUGGUGAGAGUGGAAAGCUCAUCAAGUGACGGUAACUACCCAGAAAGGGACGGCUAACUACGUG
rnacentral:rRNA from 1 species